GGAGAAAUGGCAGAGUGGUCGAAUGCGGCGGUCUUGAAAACCGUUAUGCUGUAUCCACGGCAUCGGGGGUUCGAAUCCCUCUUUCUCCGCCA
rnacentral:tRNA from 1 species